rnacentral:lncRNA from 1 species
UUGGCCAUUGAAAUUAAUAGGACAUUUAAAAAUCACUGCAAGUCAUUACAAACUUAUACUGUCAAAUGUCUGAAAUCAAAAUAGGGUAAAAAUUUAUAUUUUGGUGAAAAAAAGGCAGCUGUACACCUUGAUAUGUGAGAAAGUUACAGAAUUUCUAUGUUCAUAAUUAAUCAUUACUAAAAAAUUGCAUUCAGAUCUUCUACACUUUUUAGCAUUAAACAUGUAUGUAAUGUUUAUAACAUUAUAAACUCAGAAUGUUAAGUGUUUAUCCAGUAUUAUACUCAACAACUGAAAUACCAAGUUAAAAACAUUAUACCAAAGGUAUUAAACAUUAAUCCUUCAGUAUCAACAUAUACAACUACUUAAAACCCCUCUCCAAAACUGUAUUUCUUAUUUAUUUAAAUAGGUGAGGAAAGGAGUAAAUGAGAUAGUUAUUUUUAUGUAUGUCUGAGGGCCUAAUUGUUUUAAAAUUUAAUCCCAUGUAUACUACUUUGUACUCCUACCAUAGAAGAUACCCAAGGUAACCAAGGUCAUUUCAACAAAGGAUUCUGACCAUAUUAAGAACCCCUCCCUUCCAGUAGGAAUUGAAAAUGGUACCUUCCCACCUGAUCAUGGGAAUCAGGAUUUAAAAUGUGUAUGCACAAAAAUAUAUGAAUCAUUCCUUCUGCCUAGUCUAACACUAUCAUUUCCCCUUACAACUUCAUUUCUCCUACUGGAGGAUUAAAAGUGAGAUGGUGGCUCAUGCCUGUAAUCCCAGCAGUUUGGGAGGCUGAGGUGGGUGGAUCACCUGAGGUCACGAGUUCGAGACCAGCCUGACCAACAUGGUGAAACCCCGUUUCUACUAAAAAUACAAAAAGUUAGCUGGGUGUGGUGGCAGGUGCCUGUAAACCCAGCUACUUGGGAGGCUGAAGCAGGAGAAUUGCCUGAACCCAGGAGGCAGAGGUGGCAGUGAGCUGAGACUGCACCAUUGCACUCCAGCCUGGGCAACAAGCAAAACUCCAUCUCAAAAAAAAAAAAAAAAAAAAAAAAAAGUGAAGUUGAUGUUCUUUCUGGAAAAUACUUUUAAGGUUAUAAGAAACAGAAUAUCUGCAUCAGAAAUGUUUCUAAAGACAACAGCUAAUUGGCUGUGGAUUUCUCCACUACUAAACUUGGCCUUUCACUUUGAACUAAUAAGAAAUACUCAUAAACCCAGUAUUUCCAGACACUGAUUAAGAAACCACCUGAUGUAGUGAUGUAACUUAAAUUUUUCUGUUCAUCUUGUCUACUUUGUAUCUGACAUGAUGAACACCAAAUUCCUAGAUGCAUUUGACAACUGGAAGGCAAAAUUUACAAAAUUUAUGUUAAAUAAAACAUGCAAGUUAUAUCAAAU